GGAAAACUUACCAGGUCCAGACAUAGUGAGGAUUGACAGAUUGAGAGCUCUUUCUUGAUUCUAUGGGAGGUGGUGCAUGUCCGUUCUUAGUUGGUGGAGUGAUUUGUCUGGUUAAUUCCAUUAACGAACGAGACCCCCGCCUGCUAAAUAGGUCCGUGAAUGAAUUUCAUUGACGAGAUCUUCUUAGAGGGACCUUUGGUGACUAACCAAAGGAAGUUGGGGGCAAUAA
rnacentral:rRNA from 1 species